UGUUUGGGCUUUCCUCGGAAGAGAAGGUGUCCCUUCAGGCCAUUGCACUGGGAGCAUGGGGUGAGAUGUGAAGACCAGCACACUUAAUGUCCUGCUCUAGCACACUGAAUUCAUUCAUAUAUGUGAUAUGCAGCCGGAAUCCCAAGUUCCAUAGGAGACAGAUAAUUGGUCUUUUUCAUGUUUCUUCCAGUGCUGCUUGCAUCUACUGUUUCUUUUUCUAAUCUCAAGUUUGCCACUGAACAGGCAAAGCCAAUGUUGAAAUAUGCAUAAGGAACCAAAAACACCUGUCCUUCAUUUCCGUCCUUUCAGACUGAUUGGGGAAGGGUCAUAGGGAAAAACCCUUCCCCUUUUGGAAGGGGAGGCAGCCAGCCGGAGAGAGUAACGUUAGCCUCGAACUAGAAAGGAAGUGUCUGCUGUGCCGUCAGCAAAAAGAAAGCAAAAAGAAGUUGUUCGCAGAGGAAACUGUUAUUUGCCAAUCCGUGGGAAAUGAGUCAUGAAAGAAGCUGAAAUCCUGGGGACCAGUCCAACGGAAAAAUGGUUGGUUGGCUUUCUGUUACUCUUGAAGAAGACAAAUAUCUCUUUGGAAAGUGACAAACUUUCCCCCUUUCUUCAAUGCUGCCAAUAUGAUUUUAAAAAGGAACAAUUAUCCUUAGACGUGAAAAAACUCAUUAAAUGGUACUAGGAUCCUUGGUUCAGAAAAUUCACCUUGAUCAGGUAGUUUCUCCUUACUGCAGUUGUAGCAAGCAGAGAUGUCAGCAAUGUUACUGCUACUGUUUCCCUCUCUUUCAUCACACAUAUAAGUAGCCUCAUUGGGCUGUGUUCAUUAAAAGGCCCUGGAACCAUCCAGUCAACGGAUGCGGUCAUAGUGUCAUUUAGAAGCUUGUGACAUUCAGACUGCAGAAUAGUGUCAUUUAGCAAGCAUUGCUCAUUGGCCUCAAAGUUUUCAAGCUAAAUUGACAUACAGCAACAAGG
rnacentral:lncRNA from 1 species